UGCGCAGGCGGAUCGGUAAGUACCUUGUGAAAUCCCUCGGCUCAACCGAGGAACUGCUUGGUAUACUGCCAGUCUUGAGCAUGGUAGGGGCGGUCGGAACGGUAGGUGGAGCGGUGAUAUGCGUAGAUAUCUACCGGAACGCCAAAGGUGAAGACAGGCCGCUGGGCCACUGCUGACGCUCAUGCACGAAAGCGUGGGUAGCGAACG
rnacentral:rRNA from 1 species